GAUGAACGCUGGCGGCGUGCCUAAUACAUGCAAGUCGAGCGAACGGACGAGAAGCUUGCUUCUCUGAUGUUAGCGGCGGACGGGUGAGUAACACGUGGAUAACCUACCUAUAAGACUGGGAUAACUUCGGGAAACCGUAGCUAAUACCGGAUAAUAUUUUGAACCGCAUGGUUCAAAAGUGAAAGACGGUCUUGCUGUCACUUAUAGAUGGAUCCGCGCUGCAUUAGCUAGUUGGUAAGGUAACGGCUUACCAAGGCAACGAUGCAUAGCCGACCUGAGAGGGUGAUCGGCCACACUGGAACUGAGACACGGUACAGACUCCUACGGGAGGCAGCAGUAGGGAAUCUUCCGAAAUGGGCGAAAGCCUGACGGAGCAACGCCGCGUGAGUGAUGAAGGUCUUCGGAUCGUAAAACUCUGUUAUUAGGGAAGAACAUAUGUGUAAGUAACUGUGCACAUCUUGACGGUACCUAAGCAGAAAGCCACGGCUAACUACGU
rnacentral:rRNA from 1 species